rnacentral:rRNA from 1 species
AGUGAACGCUGGCGGUAGGCCUAACACAUACAAGUCGAACGGCAGCACAGUAAGAGCUUGCUCUUACGGGUGGCGAGUGGCGGACGGGUGAGGAAUACAUCGGAAUCUACUUUUUCGUGGGGGAUAACGUAGGGAAACUUACGCUAAUACCGCAUACGACCUGCGGGUGAAAGCAGGGGAUCUUCGGACCUUGCGCGAUUGAAUGAGCCGAUGUCGGAUUAGCUAGUUGGCGGGGUAAAGGCCCACCAAGGCGACGAUCCGUAGCUGGUCUGAGAGGAUGAUCAGCCACACUGGAACUGAGACACGGUCCAGACUCCUACGGGAGGCAGCAGUGGGGAAUAUUGGACAAUGGGCGCAAGCCUGAUCCAGCCAUACCGCGUGGGUGAAGAAGGCCUUCGGGUUGUAAAGCCCUUUUGUUGGGAAAGAAAAGCAGCAGGUUAAUACCCCGCUGUUCUGACGGUACCCAAAGAAUAAGCACCGGCUAACUUCGUG